GACGAACGCUGGCGGCGUGCCUAACACAUGCAAGUCGAGCGGAGAGGAAGGAGCUUGCUCCUGAAUCUUAGCGGCGGACGGGUGAGUAACGCGUGAGCAACCUGCCUUGAACUGGGGGAUAACGCAUCGAAAGAUGUGCUAAUACCGCGUAAGACCACAGUACCGCAUGGUACAGGGGUCAAAGGAGCAAUCCGGUUUAAGAUGGGCUCGCGUCCGAUUAGCUAGUUGGUGAGAUAACAGCCCACCAAGGCAACGAUCGGUAGCCGACCUGAGAGGGUGAUCGGCCACAUUGGAACUGAGACACGGUCCAGACUCCUACGGGAGCAGCAGUGGGGAAUAUUGGGCAAUGGGCGAAAGCCUGACCCAGCAACGCCGCGUGAGGGAAGAAGGGGUUUCGGCUCGUAAACCUCUGUCCUAUGGGACGAAGAAGUGACGGUACCAUAGGAGGAAGCCCCGGCUAACUACGUG
rnacentral:rRNA from 1 species